UGGCCUCAGGUCCUGGGAUGGUAUUUG
rnacentral:piRNA from 1 species